rnacentral:RNase_P_RNA from 1 species
GGUAGACGGACAGUUGCUUUUUUAUAAAAGAGGAAAGUCUGAGCACUAUCGGAUAAGAAUGCCGGUUAACUGCCGGACGAGGUGACUCGAUGGAAAGUGCAACAGAAAAUAAACCGCCAUUUUGGUAAGGGUGAAAUGGUAAGGUAAGAGCUUACCGCAUUCAAGGUAACUUGAAUGGCAUUGCAAACCCCAUUCAGUGCAAGGUCAAAUAGAGAAACUUAAGCGAUUCCGACUAGUUUCUGGGUAGACCGCAUGACUUAAUUGGUAACAAUUAAGCAAGAUAAAUAACUGUCGCCUUUAUAAAGGUACAGAACUCAGCUUACAGUUUACCUUG